rnacentral:rRNA from 1 species
AUGACUUUCGAGGUCGGCGGUGUGCUGUUCCCGGCGCAUAGGUACAUGCUUGCUGCUCGGUCCUCGGUCUUCUUGGCUGAGCUCUUUGGUCCUAUGAAAGAGAAGGAGGCAACCUACAUACGGAUCGAUGAUAUGGAAGCUAAGGUAUUCAAAGCCAUGCUUCACUUCAUCUACACGGACGCAUUGCCUGAGAUUGACAACAGUGAAUCUAUGGAGAUGGCACAACAUUUGCUGGUAGCAGAAGACAGGUAUAACCUCGAGAGGCUCAAAUUGAUGUGCGAGGAGACCUUGUGCAACUACAUCAACCAAAGCACAACAGCCACCAUGUUGGUGUUGGCUGAGCAGCAUGGUUGUGAAGGCCUCAACGCGGCAUGCUUCUCUUUCCUCGCUUCACUCGACAACCUGAAGGCAGUCAAGGCGUGA